rnacentral:rRNA from 1 species
UGGGGGAAUCUUCCACAAUGGACGCAAGUCUGAUGGAGCAACGCCGCGUGAGUGAAGAAGGUCUUCGGAUCGUAAACUCUGUUGUUAGAGAAGAACACGAGUGAGAGUAACUGUUCAUUCGAUGACGGUAUCUAACCAGCAAGUCACGGCUAACUACGUGCCAG